AGGGUUUGAUUAUGGCUCAGGAUGAACGCUGGCGGCAUGCCUAAUACAUGCAAGUCGAACGGACUACACCAUGAACUUGAAGAGCUUGCUCGGAUUGGAAUUGGAUUCUGUAGUCAGUGGCGGACGGGUGAGUAACACGUGGGUUACCUGCCACACAGUAUGGAAUAACUAUUGGAAACGAUAGCUAAUACCGUAUAUGACCUUCGGGUCGAAAGGGGCGUUUACCUCGCUGUGUGAUGGGCCUGCGGCGCAUUAGCUAGUUGGUAAGGUAAAGGCUCACAAAGGCGACGAUGCAUAGCCGGACUGAGAGGUUGAACGGCCACACUGGGACUGAGACACGGCCCAGACUCCUACGGGAGGCAGCAGUAGGGAAUUUUCCGCAAUGGACGAAAGUCUGACGGAGCAAUGCCGCGUGAGUGAUGAAGGUUUUCGAAUCGUAAAGCUCUGUUGUAAGGGAAGAACAGCACUAGUAGGAAAUGGCUAGUGUGUGACGGUACCUUACCAGAAAGCCACGGCUAACUACGUGCCAGCAGCCGCG
rnacentral:rRNA from 1 species